CUGGUCUUGACAUCCUGGGAACCCUGUAGAGAUAUGGGGGUGCCGUAAGGAGCCCAGAGACAGGUGCUGCAUGGCUGUCGUCAGCUCGUGUCGUGAGAUGUUGGGUUAAGUCCCGCAACGAGCGCAACCCUUGUCCUUAGUUGCCAUCAUUUAGUUGGGCACUCUAAGGAGACCGCCGGUGACAAACCGGAGGAAGGUGGGGAUGACGUCAAGUCAUCAUGGCCUUUAUGACCAGGGCUACACACGUGCUACAAUGGUUGGUACAGUGGGUUGCUACCUCGCGAGGGCACGCUAAUCUCAAAAAACCGACCUCAGUACAGAUAAGAGUCUGCAACUCGACUCUUUGAAGUCGGAAUCGCUAGUAAUCGCUGAUCAGCAGGCAGCGGUGAAUA
rnacentral:rRNA from 1 species